AGGAGGAAUAUCAUAGCGAAGAGCGCAAUAGCCUUUUGACUGCCACCGUAAAAAAGCGUAAGCCCCGUUUCCCCCGUAAGCACGAUCAUGAACAAGACAGGCAUAUGUUACGAAGUGGUAAAGUCGAGGAGAAGAAGAAAGGCAGCCACGAGAUCUAACCCCAGGGCAGAUAAUGACAAGUAAUAUUAUGAUGUACCUAAUAAUGAAAAAACAAGUUGGGAAACGUCAACAAAUGUGAUAUAUUUGAACGACAAACUGCUACUCACCAAUGGAACUGAAAUAUGUUUAACUAUAUAGAAAAGCAACAAUGAAAAAAAUAUUAAACAGUGCCUAUAGCUGUA